rnacentral:rRNA from 1 species
GUACUGUGCGAACGUUAUUCGGAAUCACUGGGCUUAAAGGGUGCGUAGGCGGUUGAUUAAGUAGGGUGUGAAAGCUCUCGGCCUAACCGAGGAAUUGCGCUCUAAACUGAUCAACUUGAGUGAGAUAGGGGUGUGCGGAACUUCCAGUGGAGCGGUGAAAUGUGUUGAUAUUGGAAGGAACGCCGGUGGCGAAAGCGGCACACUGGGUCUCAACUGACGCUGAGGCACGAAAGCCAGGGUAGCGAACGGGGGAUUAGAUACCCCGGUAGUCCUGGCUGUAAACGAUGAGCACUAGACGGGAGGAGCUUCGGUUCAUCCCGGUCGCAGCGAAAGCAAUAAGUGCUCCGCCUGGGGAGUAUGGUCGCAAGGCUG